CAGCAGCGAGGGGACGCCGCGCCGGGGGGUGGUCGCCGGCGCCCAGACUGCGAUGCAGAGCAGCUUUAAACGUCAUUUCCGACGCUACUUCGACGGCACCCCAGCCGGGACGCACCCCAGCCGGGACACGACGGCACACGGGCUGGGGAGUCCGGACCGGAGCCCCUCACCCCCGUUAUGCGCCGAAGGGACCCCGGUGCGCCUGGUUCAUCCCCGAGGAAAGGGCCCAGGCAGGUAUGUAGUCCCCUCGUCUCCCGUGCAGCCGCGCACCCCUGCCCUCGGGGGCACUGGAGCUUCUGUGCUGAAUGGGGGCGGGUGGGACAGACGCCGGUUAAUCCCACCUCGUGCUGUACAUGCAAACCCGUGGAGGUAGAUCCUAAACCUAAGCGUGAAUGUGGAAGAGUAAACGUGCGGGGCUGUGUGCGCCCCCGGAACCACCCCCACCCCUUGGCAGCGCCCGCGGCACAUGGGGGUGCAGAGUCUCCACCUUCUCCACCUGCUCCGUCCUCUUGGGGUUGAUUGCUCCAACCGCCUCGUGUCCCAGGAGGACCCAGAGGGGACUGUCACUGCAGUUCUGAAGCUGGGCCUUCCUGACCCAAAGCACUAAUACACUCCGCAUCAUGUUUAGGACAACGAAGCCGGAGGGACCCAGGGCGAAAUGCGCUGGUGGACGAUGAAUUACCACGUAAUGAAAAGAAUACCCUUUGAAACAUUAAAAAAGAUGCCCACGUUGAGAGUUAGAGAUCGUUCACUAAGGAUAACUCUUUAUGGGACACAUGGGUUAUUGUGGUCUACGGGUCUCACCUAAAUCUCACCAAAGGUGUUACAAUGCCAGCUGAUCAGGAGAUGACUGCCGAUUUAAAAAGACGUUUGUGAUACUCAGACCCCAAGAGCAGGGGGCACACGCCACACCACGGGGGCCAGGAGGAGAAGCACCGGGGUGGUCAGGUGGCCGAGGGAAUGAGGAGAGUGUGUGCGCAAGAACCUUUAUUGUGGUUUCACAGGAAGAAACAGGCGCAGGGAACCACGCCCCCUGGAAGCUCGGAGGACCUGGAAGACCUGGUCUACCUCAGAAGAGGACACUGAGCUGGAUCCGGAGCAGUGGCACAUCCAGUCCCAGAGCAGGCAGCACACGGGGCUGCCAUGAGCAGCAGUGCCUCUCGGAGUGCCCGGGGUGGACAGGAAGGCCCCGGCCAUGGGCAGACUCAUUCCUCCACAGCGUGGGGUGUCGUCCGAGUCCUCAGAGGCAGACCACAGAAUCCACCUAAGCUGCUUUGAACAGGAAGCAUUUAUUAAGGGUUAAAGUCACAUCACAGAAUCACUGGAGGGACUAAAGAACCAUCCUGGAAUGAGUCCCCAGGGAAGACGCUGAACCCACAACACAGAACCUGCAGCCCAGGGACCUUCGGCUUGUGCACAAUCAAGAAGCUUCGGAAGCAGGAAGCUGCCACCCAAGCCAUCUCCAAGAAGUCACCCCCUAAAGCAGGAAGCCACCAGCCCCACACAGCUUCUGCCACGAUCCCAGCCAUAUUUCUCUCCCUCUGUAGUUCAGUGUCACACACUGGUAGGAGGUGGUUCCCAUCUUCUACUCUAGGGGCAAGGGAGUCCAGAAAUGCCAAUUUUAGCUCCAGCCUCUGAGUUAGAAUGGGUGUGUGCUUAUGAGUCCAUGCGUCCAGCACACAUGGUGGUUAUGUGUCCUUAAAGGACCAGACAUGUUUACUUUUUUUUUAAUGUGAAUUUUGCCCAGCCGGUGUGGCUCACUGGUGAGCAUCAACCCAUGCACCAAGAGGUCACCAGUUC